AAAAAAACAAAAAAAAUUAAAAAAAUUAAAAAAAAAAACCUAAAACUACCUAGCCACCCUAGCCCCACCAUUGCCACCUUCUUCUUCUUCAGCUUGACCCACAGCCGGCGACGCAACGACCGGCGCACCACCUCCCCCUCCCUCACCGGCCAACCUAAACCCUUCCCCACUCACUCAAUCACAGCAGCUCCACCUCCCCCCUCUCAAUCACCUCAAGCAUAAACCCAGAAUUCGUCGCCAUCACCUGCAGCCGCCACCUGCCCGUCGCCAUCACCAGCCACGAAUUUCAAUUUGCUCUGAGUUUAUGGCUGUUGCUCCAAGAACGGCCACGAAUUCGGCCAUUGAUGGCCGAAAUCGGCCGGUUAAGGCCACUCAGCCCCAAAACCGGUCGAUUUCAACCAUUAAUGGCUGAAUUCGUCGCCGUUUUUGGGCGUUUAUUUGUGGCUGAAUUCGGCCAUUGAUGGCGGUGUUAAGGGCGGUUUAGGGCUGGGGAAAGGGAAGGGGAGGGGUUCUGGUGGGUCGGGUAAACGGAGGGGGAGGGAUGCGCCGGCGGCCGCGCUAGGUGAGGGUGGAGAAGAAGGUGGCGGUGGUGGGGCUGGGGUGGAUGGGUAGUUUUAGGAUUUUUUUUUUAAUUUUUUAAAACAAGUAAAAUGGUGACACGUGUCACUGUGGACUCCACUUAACGGUAAAAACCAUUUUCGUAACAUUUGUCAGGUGUUAAAUAAAUUUUUUUUUUUUUGGAGGUGUUAAAACCCAAUUUCGGAUUUUUGUCAAGUGUUAAAAUAAAAAAUAUCCUAAUUUUUAUUAAUUAUCAAAAUAUUUAAAAAAAAAAAAAACCAAUGAGGACAUGACACGUGGAUUGCAACCUGAUAUAACAAGUCAAGUGACCUGCUUGGUUUACUACGAGAGAAAAAAUGCAAACUUGUGUUUAUUUUGGGAAGAUUUAAAGGUUGGUCCAUUUUGGGACAAUGGAGCAAAGUUGCUGCAGCAUAUUUGGCAAGGAGAUGUGCACGCUGAACCCGUGACCGAUCAACUUUGUGAGCCCAACAGUAGAGCAACUUAGAAGUAAUGAAUUUGAUGUGCCGAAUAAGCCAGAGGCAUCAGAUACGAUCACAAAAGUAUACAAAGUAUAUUAUCUUAGCCAGAGGAAACAAGUUUCUCGUUUAUCAACUAAGCUUGUCAGCUAAGAAUUUUAGGUCACUCGGUUGAGUUUCUCUU